AAUGAGUGUAUGAUUUAACUCUGAGUUUGUGGCUUCAUGUAGUGGGUGUCUCACCUUUCUAAAACCUAGUUCAUGCUUUUUUUUUUUUUUGGUUACUGGAGAUUGAACUCAGGUGCACUUGACCACUGAGCCACAUCCCUAGCCCAAUUUUGUAUUUUAUGUAAAGACAGGGUCUCACUGAGUUGCUUAGCACCUAGCUAAAUUGCUGAGGCUGACUUUGAACUUGCUCCUGCCUCUGCGUACUGAGCCACUGGGAUUAGAGCUGCUGGGAUUAGAGCUAUUGGGAUUACAGGCAUUCACCAUGCAGGGCAGUAGUUCACUCUUCCUAAAGAGCAAGUUCUGAUUUUUAUUUUUCUCUAUCAUUGAGAGUCUUACUUUGUUAACCAAAUACAAGUUUAGUUCUUAAAUGGGAUAGUUUAUUUUAUACACCAUCUUCCUUCUCCCAGUUCCCCCAUCCUCUGAUGUUGGGUUUGUAUCUCCAUGUGUAUAUUGGGAUCUCUCUUUAUGCUAAUAUGUAGCAGAAUGAACCUGCAUACUAAUGAAUUUUAGAGGAUUUGUCAUCAUAAGAAAGCCAUAAACAUGAAGAUUUAGGAGGAUAUGAAGACUUUACAACAUGAAAUGAAUUGCUUUAGCUGAAUUUUUUAAAAGGCAAAGUGGAAGAAUGGUUAAUAGAAUGAUAAAAACUAAGAACGUUACCUAAUUAUAAUAAGGGUGGUUAAACAAUGUGGGUUUAUGUGUGUAUGAGAAUAUAUUUAUAAAUGAGCAGUUUUUAAAUAAAGAUAUAUUUUAGUACUGAAUAAGUAAUUCCAGUUCUGCUCUGUGGUCCUUGAUAUGGAAUGUGUUCAAAGUUCCCAGGUGAUUUUGUUUAACAUGCUUUGUUACCAGAACUUUCCUAUGAGUAACAUAAAAACAAAAAUUAGUUAAAUCUUUGUAAAUUUUUUAUUGGGAGGAUGAUUAGCAUGCUAUUUUGGAAGUUUUCUUCAAGUGUGAUUACCAAACUGUGCAUAAAUAAAUACAAUCUGAAAUGGGAAGUUCAUAGAACCUGAAUCCACAUAAGAUAGAUGAAUGUUUCAAAACGAGUUAUUCAUAGUUCAAAAGAUAAAAUCCUGACAUCUGUCAAGCUUUUUAUAGUAAUAAAAUAAGCAUGACUAAUUCUAUUAAUAUUCAUAUUUGUAAGGUAAGUUUAAGCAUGUGUACAGUGCAUUUUAAGUCAAAAUUUGGGGUGUUAUUGGCUAGACACAGUCAUUUCUUUGCCAGAGAUACUAGGCUGUGUGAGGGCUAACCAUCUGUCAACUGGUGAUAGAGACAAAGAAAGGUUUUAAUAUACUAGUUUAAAAUGUCCACAAACUUGUUUUGAACUGUAUUGUCAUUUUGUUU
rnacentral:lncRNA from 1 species